rnacentral:rRNA from 1 species
GAGAUGUGGGUAGGUCCGCACGAGCGCACCCUCACUUUUAGUUGCCAUCAUUUAGUUGGGCACUCUGAAAGAACUGCCAGUGAUAAGCUGGAGGAAGGUGGGGAUGACGUCAAGUCCUCAUGGCCCUUACGUGUUGGGCUACACACGUGCUACAAUGGCAUCUACAACAGGAAGCAAAACGGCAACGUUAAGCAAAUCCCGAAAAGAUGCCUCAGUUCGGAUUGCACUCUGCAACUCGAGUGCAUGAAGCUGGAAUUACUAGUAAUCGUGGAUCAGCGUGCCACGGUGAAUGCGUUCCCGGGUCUUGUACACACCGCCCGUCACACCAUGGGAGUUGGUUCUACCUUAAGGCAAGGUUUNAAACCCUUGACCACGGUAUAGUCAGCGACUGGGGUGAAGUCGUAACAAGGUAGCCGUAGGGGAACCUGCGGCUGGAUUACCUCCUUUCU